rnacentral:lncRNA from 10 species
UGGCAUUUAACAAAAUUUCAGUUGCUACAGACUUCUCACCAGACUAGAACAGUUUUUUCUUUUUUUUCCCGGAAACACAUAUGGAUAAUAUUUCAAAGAAAUAGAGAGUGGAUUCUUUACAAUCUCAAAAGUACAGUGCUCUCAGUUACACACAAAAAAUUUCUACUUCUGUUUAACAGAUACACAGAUGAAGAUGACAUCUAUGGAAUCUUUUCCUUGCAAUUGAUGCAUUCUUAAGUCCAGUAAUAUCAUCUCACUUUGUAUCCAAGACAUUCUCUCUGUUCAUGUAGAAUUCAGGUGGCCAUCUAUUCGGUUAUCUGCUCCAAAAACAAGUCAUUCAACGUAUCUAGCAGUAAACAGCAAACAUACUGAAACUAGCCUGUCUUACAAGGAGUACAUAUUCAGCAGUUUCUUUCAGGUGCUUCUUCAGGGACUGCCUGGUCCCUGCACAAUGCUCCUGCUCCUGAUCAAGGAAAAGACGUGUGAUUUUGCAGUCUCCUUUAGCUCUCCUUCAUGGAAAUGAUUCUCUUGACACUGAAACUAAAACAUAUCCUAGGCAUGGCUGAAAAGUAAGCAUCCUGGGCCUCUUUUCAAUUUCUCCAAGCACCAACCGCGACUGGAAAUUGUUAAGCAGUCUUUCUCAGAGUUUCUUUCUGUUUUUACUAUUUUGGUUUCCUUUAUAUGAAUCAUUUUUCACUGCAGCAAGAAAAGCGAGGGAGUGAAAGGUAACAGAAGUGCUGGGGAAUAGAAUAAUAUUUGCUCUCUGCUGCGUCAUCUGACUCGGAUCAUUAGUAGGGGCCUUUCAAGCCUGGAUUUCUAGCUGGAAAGGGAUUUUUAAAAUGAGAAAAACUGAAAAUAACCCUCAUGCUGAUGGUCAGGAUUUAACUAGGAAUAGAAGUUUGCCUCCAAGAAUGUUAGGGGAAAUUUCCGAGAGGAUCUUGCCUAAGUACUUCUCACUUGUGGAUUCCCAUUUUUAACUUUGAGUUUUAUAUUGAAAUAGGUGUGUCAUAUUCUCCUAAUAUCUGUGAAAUAUUUUUAUUCUAUGAUAGGAUAGGUUAGGAACAAAAGCAGGGAAUUUUCUGAACCUUGGUUCAUGUCGUGAGUGGAUAUUUGGUGUAAUAGAGACAAUUAGGUAUUGAAGACAGACAGCCCUGACUGUGUAAAUUAGGUAUUGAAGACAGACGGCCCUGACUGUGUUUUCUCAAUAUAUCAUUUAUCAGCUGAUGUUUUCUUGAGAAGCCGUGUUACGUUUUUGAUCUGGAAUAUUGUAAUACUAUCUUUCUUUCAAGGGUGCUGCAGGGAUUAUAAUGUGGAAAAUAAAUCAUAAUUUAUUAUUAGAAUAAUAGUAUUAUUAUAUUAUUAGAAAUCUAAAUUAGACAAAUUUAGAUGUUGUACACGCCUUCAAAGUAGUUUACACAAGCACCGUGAAUUUAAAAUUAGUAUAUCAAAACCUAGUGACAUGAAUUUAUAAAGACAGAAAGCUAGUAUUAGAG